CUAUGCGCCUUGCCAGCCCGCUCAGGUGUGCCAGCAGCCGCGGUAAUACGUAGGGGCAAGCGUUAUCCGGAUUUACUGGGUGUAAAGGGAGCGUAGACGGCAGGGCAAGUCUGGAGUGAAAGGCAGGGGCCCAACCCCUGGACUGCUCUGGAAACUGUCCGGCUGGAGUGCAGGAGAGGUAAGUGGAAUUCCUAGUGUAGCGGUGAAAUGCGUAGAUAUUAGGAGGAACACCAGUGGCGAAGGCGGCUUACUGGACUGUAAAUGACGCUGAGGCUCGAAAGCGUGGGGAGCAAACAGG
rnacentral:rRNA from 1 species